rnacentral:rRNA from 1 species
UACGUAGGGUGCGAGCGUUGUCCGGAAUUAUUGGGCGUAAAGGGCUCGUAGGCGGUUUGUCGCGUCUGCCGUGAAAGUCCGGGGCUCAACUCCGGAUCUGCGGUGGGUACGGGCAGACUAGAGUGAUGUAGGGGAGACUGGAAUUCCUGGUGUAGCGGUGAAAUGCGCAGAUAUCAGGAGGAACACCGAUGGCGAAGGCAGGUCUCUGGGCAUUAACUGACGCUGAGGAGCGAAAAGCAUGGGGGAGCGAACAGG